GCCAAGUGGAGCUCCUGCUUCAGCAGCACUGGGAAUGAAGACAUAGCAGACAGAUUUCCAGAUGAAGCCAGUCUCCACAAGGAGGGACUGCAGCAAAGUGGACUUCUGGCAUCAACAAUGUGCUUUGGGGCCCCAUGAGAGAGGUGCCCUAUGCCCUCGGACUCCCACCUUCCCAAAUUGACAGCAGAUUGUUUGGCUUCUUGUGGAUCGAUUUGAACCUGUGUCUGACUGACAGUUUCUCCGUGUCAACUGGCAUUAGAGUAGAGCAUGGUUUUGCAUUUCCCACAAUGUCACAACAAGCAGGACUUUGGUGACUUGGUGAGAGAGAGCAAUGAGCACGUCUCCUAAGAAAAUGAUUAGCACUGAAGCAAAACAAUUCCCUGAAUCAGUACAACACUCUCCUGCCCUUUCUUCUAGGGAACCUGCAAUUAAAAGCUGGACUGAGAUGUCUGAUGAUGUGAUGCGUACACCAGCCCCCGUGCCCCGCCCCCAAUGAUCUGAUGAAGCGGAUGACUCUAACCUUUCCAUUCUCCUGGCAGUGCAGUAAGGGGGUGGGGGCGCUGCCUGCCUCUUAGGGGCCCUGUCAAGUUCUAGGUUGUGCCUAAUUACUUAAAAUAAGGAAUUGUGGUGUCAUUUAUAAAGUGCAUGUUGAAAAUGCUCACUCUUUAAGCCACUUUGGGUAAAACCAUGUGUGCCUUUGGACUGGUAGCACUGUUCAUCUUUGUAAUUUCUCAAAAACAGCAAGUCACGGCGGCUCUAUGACUAGAAUUACAUUUUCUUUUCAGCACCACUAUGAAGUUUGUGGGGGCUUUCACAUGAAACUUCAAACCUACAUCUUCUCCCUAACAUGGGGUCACACACACUCCUACUAUUCAGAAUG